AAGGAAGGAGGAAAGGAAGAAAGAAAAGAAAAGGAAAGGGAUUGACUGAGGCUAAAACUCUGUAAUCUCCAACCACUGGUCAGUAAGUUCUGUUGAAAUUCAACAGUGUAAGAGACAAACAUGCAAAAAGGUUGGUGAAACAAUUCGUAAAUGCCAAGAAAAGGAAGCCUAUAGAUUUUCAGGAACCCUGAGGAGAUCCGCUGAUGUCUCCAUUGUAGCCUUCACUGCAUCCCCACCUCCCCUUCCGUGAAGGUGUCAAUAAACCUUCAGAUAGUAAAGAAGCCUUUUCCGGGGUUGAUGCUAUUUUUAAUGUCUUUAGCUUGACAGGCUUUCUGGACGGGUCCCUAUGUUAUCGUUUCUUGUGUGGGAAAUCAAGGUCCCUGGCAGUUGUCUUUCCCUGCUGUGUGUAGCAGGCAGAAUUGAUUCUCAGAAUAGGACCCCGGGAUUUUGGCCAGCAGUUCAGAAAAAAAGCAGGCCAACAGAGGAUGGAAACUAGGGGAGUAAGGGGCUCUGACUUGCAGAGGUGGAGAGGGAGAAUCACUGGGAAAUGAAAACCUUGAUCAUGCCUAGUGGAAAGUUGAAUUCAAGAAAUCUGACUACAUAUCAUGGUUAUAUUAUAUUUCCUCUACAGAGAACACCUUGGUUUUAAAAAUACUGUUUUCUGUGUGAGGUGUUUCUGUGUGUGUCCUCCCAGGAUUUCUAGAAGGUCCAUCUUCAAAGGGUCAUUAACAUUAUUUAAAUAUUCAUGGUGGGGGAGGGGAUUACAAGCUGAAAUUUCAGACAGCUUGGGAGUGGGGGAUGGCUGGCCACCCGCCGGAUCCAGUCCCACGCGGUGUAUCAGCUGCCUCCUUCCCCACCGCUGGCUUUGUUAACACACGCGCUCUGACACCAGGCCACCAGCUGCCACAACAGGGAGGGCAGCAUGAAGGCUCUGGCGAGCCAGUGAACCAGAAGCAUCCCUGUCCGCACCUCAGCCUCUGGACCACAUCAGGGAGAGGCCCAAAACACAUCGAGCCGCCGUCCGCGUCACAAAGACGCGUCUCCCACCGGCUCCCAGCGGUCCUGCUUACCCGGACAGUCUUGGUGCUGGUAAGGGAUGGGGAACUCGACCCCUCGGAUAGGAACUCAGCGGUGCCGGCCUUGUGAGGGCGAACACGCAGCCACACACUUCCAUAUACACUCAUAUGCACGUAUGUAUACACCAACGCACACGUCCAGAUGCACGCACUCCCGACACGGCCACACGUGCGCUAACACAGGUCCACGUACCCAGACACAGAGCCCUCUCCCCAGUUAGGAAAUAACUCGGCUUCACUUGCCCCAUCCCUCCAUCCCUCCAAUCUAUCCAUUCACUCAUUUCUUGGUUUCUCGGUGUGUGCCAAGAUUUCGCCAAAGCCACGGACAGAAGGUGCGAGUGGUUGGGGAGGGGAUGUGGAAGCGGAGGGGCAGACCUCUGCCCCAGGCGCCGGGAAGGGGGCGGGGAAGGGGCGGGCUCCGGGAGCAGGCGGGUGGUGCUCCCGGCCCUCCAGCGAGCAGAGCGGCCGCGGCUCUCGGCAGAUGCGCUCGCCCCAGCCGGGGCCUGCCGAACGCCUUUCCGCGGAGUCUCCCCGAUGCCCUGAGGAGGAGGUAGUGGCCGCGCUAGAUCCGAGGCCGAGGACAGCGCCCCCGUCCGGCGCCCAGAGGUACGCCUCUGUGGAAGCCCCUCCUCUUCUUAUAAGGACAUUAGUCACAUUGGAUUAGGACCCACCCGAAUGACAUCACUUGACUUGAUGACCUCUGUAGAGACCUUAUGUCCAAACAAGGUCACCUU